CUGGGAGGCAGAGUGCUGAAGUGUGCAGUGCUCUGAAGUCACACACACAGACUGGGAUGGAGCGAUGCACCCCUAGCCGUCACAGCUCAGGGUGGGCAGAUAAGCAGCAGCAUUUGGCCUGUUGUCUGGAGAACCGAACAACUGUUCAAACACAGAUUGGAGCAACACCAGUUUGCCUCCACAGCAUGACCCAGGAAUGACACUCGGGCCUAAAUACCACAGGCUGAGUAAACCAUGAAAAAAUAAAUAAUAAUAAUAAAAGAAAAUGUACGCA